ACGCAGCGAGCUCUGCCCCAACCUGUGGAGAAACUUUGUUAAAUCGAACCAACGUUUCUUUAUUAGUACAAGAAACAUUAAAGAGUUGAGGUGGAGAUAGACGAUCUCGAAGAUCUGCUUUUCUUCUUUUCAGUCCGCUGCGGAGACCAGCUCGCGGGGGAGAAACGACGGGACGGAAGGAGGAUCGGACAAAACCUUGUUAUCGAGGGAUCCUAGUCGGGAAGGAAGUGUUCCAGGCAGAUGUAGAGCAGCUGUUGCUGACUACACAGGAGGUUUCUUGGAGUUUGGACAAGCAGGACCCAGAGGAACUAUGGCCCAAUCAGGAUGGAGAACAAUUGAUGAUGGGCUGAUGGAGAGUGUCACCAGUCUUCCAAUGAUGAUGGCUCCUGUGAAGACUGAAGAUGAGGAAAAAGAACUUCAGCCUUGGUCAUUUUCAGCCCACCUUCAUCAAACCCAAACUGAAGGUAACACAGAAGUAAAGGCUCCAACCAACAACCCAGAUAAACAGAUUAAAUCAGAAACAGAUGGAGAGGACUAUGGAGUACCAGAAAUAACCAGUGACCCAAACAGUUAUUUACAGCAACACAGUGACAUAAAGGCUUCAGGCUCUUCUGAGAUAAAACAUUUGCCACAUUUUGGACCUGAAAUGAAAGACGAAGAUAAAAGCUGGAAUGACCA